ensembl:lncRNA
AUGACACCCAACGGGGUUGGGAAGAUGACACCUGAGGUGGUCACGGUGACGACACAACCAGGAGAGGUGGUGGUGGCACCCAAGAUGGUGGCCAUGACACCCAAGAUGGUGGUCGUGACACCCAACGAGGUUGGGAAGACAACACAACCAGGAGAGGUGGUGGUGACACCCAAAAUGGUGACGACACAACCAGAAGAGGUGGUGGUGACACCCGGGGUGGUCGCGGUGACGCUCAACGUGUCAUCGUUACCACCUCACUUGUCCCCACAACCAACACAACCCGAGGAGACGGUCGUGGGGGCAUCACAACCUGAAGAAGUGGUGACACCGGAGAUGGUCGUGGUGACAGCACGACUUGGGACGACUGUGACACCACCGGUGACAACGUGCCCACCCCAUGGGGGACAGGUGACACCCAUGGGCACCUCCUGCCCACGGUUGUUGCCGUCGCCAACCCCGCGGGCCUACAACAUCACUGCACACUGACAACUCAGACUGUCACCCUGUUGUCUGGGUGACGCCGUACGAUUGUCACCUCCACCUGAAGGUGACACCUGGUGCCCUGCUGUGUCAUUGGUGGUGACACCCAAUGGAUUUGGAGAUGCUUUGGGGGACCGACGCUGCGGUGACGACGCUGCGGUGGCACCGAGCACCCAUGGGUGCCUCUACCUCACCCUCAGAGCCCCAAUUCUUUGUGGGUCACACUGAUAUUUAUUGGUCGUCGUUUGUAUUUAUUUAAGGGGUUAUUUAAUUGUAGGGUAUUUAAUAUUUAACACUAUUUAUUUCAGAGCUGUUUAACCCCGAUUUUGGGGUAUUUAUUACAGAAACUGUUGUUUACAACGUGUGCUGUCGCUGUGUCGUCAUUGGAGCACUGCAUCCGUGGGAAGGGGGAGGGGGGGGAGACUCAAACUUAAGGAUUUUGUGUUUUUUGACCCAAUUUGUAAGGCUUUGUCGUGGAACGGUGAAAGAAAAUGCCAUGUUUGGGUCCAGAAGUCCCGUUUUUGGGUGGAGAAGACCCGUUUUGGGGUCAGCAAAAGGUUUUGGGUGGAAAAGAUGACUUGGAGGGGGAAAAAAACACCAUUUUUUAGUUAGAAAAAAAGGCCACUUUGAGGUGGGGAAACACUACUUUUAGGUAGAAAACAUGGAUUUUGAGUUAAAAAAUGAGUCCCUUUAAGUAGAAAAAUCCAAUCUUCAGGUAGGAAACGAUUGGUUUUUAGGUAGAAAGGACCAUUUUUUGGAUUGGACAGAAAACUAAGUGGACUCAAGGAGACAGUUUUUAGGUGCAAAAGUCCAUUUUUUUUACAUAGAAAAGGCCAUUUUGGGGUCGAAAAACUAAAGUUUUCACUUUUCGGUUAGAACAUUACUCAUUUCAGGUGGAAAAUGACAAAUUUUUAAGGUAGGAAAAGCUUUUUGUGUCAGAAAACGUAAGAUGGGACGAUUUUUAGGUAGAAAAGGCUGUAUUUGAGUAGGAAAAAGGUUUUUUUUAGGUGAGUGAAGACCAUUCCGGGUGGAAAAAGGUUGGUUUUGGGUAGAAAACUGGCGUUUGUAAGCAGAAAAUCACCGCUUCUAGGUAGAAAACUCAAUUUUUAUGUGAACUUUUACGUUGAAGAUGACUUCUCAAGCCAAAGACUGCUAUAUUUUAGGUAGAAAAUGGGUGUUCUGGGGUGGGAAAUGCCAUUUUUUGAGGUGGAAAACGGUCAGUUUAGGUGAAGAACACUUUGCAGAAGAACAUUUUUAGAUGGAAAACUUCUUUUUUUCAUCCCGAUUUGGGCCCCAAUUCCAAGGCUGCUCUGAAAUAAACCAUCACACCACAACUAACA